CACACUUCUAAUAGCAAACUCCAUAUAAGUAGAAAAACAUACAAAGUAUACAGAAGCUAAGAAUCUUCCAACCCUUGACAUACAGAUUAUUCAGCUAGAAAACAAUCUGAAGAGUAAACAGCUACCUUGGCUGCAGGGAUGAAGUGGUUAAAGUGGAGAGAACAUGCAUUUUACACGAGUUUCCCGGCUCCCUGGAGGUGAGGUGGGCUCUGGCCAGGGCCCUGGUCCCGGCCUGGCAUCAGGCUCGACCUGGCUGCUGGCUCGGCAGGACUUGGCUUGGCUCGGCCCCACUCGGCUUCAGGCUCGGCCCGGAUCCCAGCUCAGCAGGGCUCAGCUCGGCACCACUCAGCUCCGGGCUGGGCUCGGCUCCUGGUUUCUUUCUCCAUGCAGCAUGGCCAAUUGGGGGAUGGGGGAGCCACCCAGGCUCUCCCUUCCCCCUGUUCUGAGAAGAAAGGCCGCCAGCUGACCACGUGGCUCAGAGUUUUUCCAGCAAUGGCCUGGCCCAGCUUCUCCACGUUCUGGAUGCAAUUUUAAUGCCUGAAUAAGAUUCUCGAUCUCCUGAGUUCCCCUGAAUGAGAAGAAUAAAGCUAAAAGUCUACUGAA